GUCGUGCGAGAACGGGGGCUUCGGCCUCCUAGUAAAGCGGCGAACGGGUGCGUAACACGUGGGCAACCUGCCUAUCAGUUUGGGAUAAGCUCUCGAAAGGGGGUCUAAUACCGAAUGAUACCCAGAGGAGACAUCUCUUUUGGUUCAAAGACGGUGAAAGCCGUCGCUGAUAGAUGGGCCCGCGCCCCAUUAGCUAGUUGGUAGGGUAAUGGCCUACCAAGGCUCCGAUGGGUAGCCGACCUGAGAGGGUGACCGGCCACACUGGGACUGAGAUACGGCCCAGACUCCUACGGGAGGCAGCAGUAGGGAAUAUUGCGCAAUGGAGGCAACUCUGACGCAGCAACGCCGCGUGGAUGAUGAAGCUCUUUGGAGUGUAAAGUCCUGUCGCCAGGGAAGAAACGAUGGAUGAGGAAAUGCAUUCGUCCUGACGGUACCUGGAGAGGAAGUUCCGGCUAACCCCGUGCCAGCAGCCGCGGUAACACGGGGGGAACGAGCGUUGUUCGGAUUUACUGGGCGUAAAGGGUGCGUAGGCGGGUUGGCAAGUCGGGUGUGAAAUUCCAUAGCUUAACUAUGGACCUGCAUUCGAAACUGUUGAUCUUGAGUACUGGAGAGGUGAGUGGAAUUCUCGGUGUAGCGGUGAAAUGCGUAGAUAUCGAGAGGAACACCGUUGGCGAAGGCGGCUCACUGGACAGAUACUGAC
rnacentral:rRNA from 1 species